CUUCAACGAGCCCAGCCACAACGGCCGCUCCGCGGGCCGAUCCUGGCCGUAGGUCGCCAGCAACGCCUGCGCCUC
rnacentral:antisense_RNA from 1 species